AGUGAACGCUGGCGGUAGGCCUAACACAUGCAAGUCGAACGGCAGCACAGUAAGAGCUUGCUCUUACGGGUGGCGAGUGGCGGACGAGUGAGGAAUACAUCGGAAUCUACUUUUUCGUGGGGGAUAACGUAGGGAAACUUACGCUAAUACCGCAUACGACCUACGGGUGAAAGCAGGGGAUCUUCGGACCUUGCGCGAUUGAAUGAGCCGAUGUCGGAUUAGCUAGUUGGCGGGGUAAAGGCCCACCAAGGCGACGAUCCGUAGCUGGUCUGAGAGGAUGAUCAGCCACACUGGAACUGAGACACGGUCCAGACUCCUACGGGAGGCAGCAGUGGGGAAUAUUGGACAAUGGGCGCAAGCCUGAUCCAGCCAUACCGCGUGGGUGAAGAAGGCCUUCGGGUUGUAAAGCCCUUUUGUCGGGAAAGAAAAGCAGCAGGUUAAUACCCCGCUGUUCUGACGGUACCCAAAGAAUAAGCACCGGCUAACUUCGUG
rnacentral:rRNA from 1 species